rnacentral:lncRNA from 1 species
UAUUUAUACGUCUUAAACUACGGUAGACUCUCGGUAAACUGAAAUCUGUUAAACGGAACUGCUGCUUAAACGGAACAACUGCAUCUAAUAUAAUUGGUUUCAUACUUGGAUUCUGCACUCCUGUUCGUCUCUCAGUAAACGG